rnacentral:lncRNA from 1 species
CCUGCAACUUUGAGCAAGUUCGUGAAUCUCACUAAGGCUCAGUUUCCUCCAUAAAAUUAAUCAAUAUCAGGGCCUCUGCAUUGGACAACUCCAGAGGGCACCAUUGGGGUUAUACCUUGUGUUUGCCUAACCUUCAUUGCAGUGGGCAGGUGCAUGCUUUCUACAAUGUCCUAAGGUCUAAAGGGGUAGAGUUCUGUGUGUGGCAUUUUAGGCCUGGAAAGGAUGAGAGUCUACAAAACCAGAGAAAUACUGCAGGUGAGUGAGGGGCUAAGAUCCAGAUGCCCCCUGCCACAUUGAUCCUCUCCAAGACAGGAGGCCCCAGAUCCCCAGAUCUGAAGCCCUUUUUAAGAGCAAGAGUAUCAGCUGAUGAAUUUCAUGCAUUGCACACCGUGACUCCCAAGAUGGUCUGUCAGAUCUCCAGGUUCUGGAGGUUGGAGGUUCCGCUCAGUGACAGCCUGGCGGUACAGCAUACCCAGGUUCAAAUCCCAGAUCUACCACUUAAUAACUAGGUAAUCUUGGAUGGAUUACUUAACCUUCUUAAGCCUCAUUUACCUCGUGAUAAUUUAUUUUAUAGAGUUGCUGAAAGAAUCAAUGUGAAAAUGUACAUAAAGUGUUUAGCAAAUACAGUAGUGCUCAAUAAAUGUCAGCUUUGUUGUAACUCUUCAGAUUUUCCCUGGGCAAAGUAAAAGCUUUCUUGGAGCCUUUCUCUUAAUCAGUCCUGCCUCAAACAUCCCUUCUGCUGAAACAAGCUGUGAUUAAUCCACUGUAGACCCGACACUCCACUAAAUGGGGCACAGUGCAGAGGUCCGUAAUGAGGAUCUUUUUAAAAGUAAAGCAUAUACAUCAGUCUCAACACUUAUAAACAUCAGAAUUACUUGGAAAGGAGGUUUACAAAAAUGCAAAUGACAUUUUGGAAAGCCUAAUUCAGUAGGUUAGUUUAGAGCUGUGAUAUUGUGAUUUAUAAUAAAUAUAUAUUUGCUCUUGGUCUCUAUUCCUGGCACAGAGCUCCUAAAGUCCUUGGAAUGUCCUAAGUGGUGAGUUUAUGCUAAAGAGGUAACUUUUGGAAAACCUCUAAGGAUGGGGGGCUGGUUGCCAGGGGAGCCAACCAUGUGAUUAGAAGGUUGGAACUUUCACCACCCACCACCCUGACCUCCAGGGAAGGGAAAGUGGCUGGAAGUUGACUUAAUUUGCAAUGGGCAAUGAUUUCAUCAAUCACGUCUAUGUAAUGAAGCCUCCACAAGAAAAAAAUCUUAACAGAAGACCUUCAGAGAGCUUCCAGGUUGCUGACCACAUGGAGGUCAUGCCCAGAGAGGGUGUGAAAGCUCCACACCCCUUUUCCAUACCUUGCCCUACUUAUCUCUUCCAUCUGGCUGUUUCUAAGUUGCAUCCUUUAUAUUAAAGCAAUAAUGUUGUAAAUGAACUUUCUCUGAGUUCUGUGACCCAUUCUAGCAAAUGGUCAAACCCAGGAGGGAAUGGUAUGAACCUCUGGUUUACAGCCAUUGGUAAGAAGCACACAUGACAACCUGGACUUUCCAUCAACAUUUGAAGCGGGAGCAGUCUUGUGGGAUCAAGCUCUUAACCUGUGGGGUCUGCUACUAACUCUGUGCUACCUACAGAGAUCCCAGACCACCACCCAUGAUCCCAGGCUGGAGGAAGCAGCAGGCUAGCGGAAUUCAGGACCAAUGAGCCAGGAAAGAGGACCCAAUGCAGAGCUCACAUCCCACCCUCCUUCCCCCAUGACAAAGCACUGGCAAACCCUGCCAAAGAAGAAGCUUGGCUGCAAAGCAGUCUGGAACUGGACCCGGGAUAGAUUCACCAGGAGCUCACCACCACAGGGAAUGCUGCACUUUGACUGGACAGAAUGCAUCCUCCAUGCCCACAGAGCAUGUGCCCAGGAUGAAUCUCACUGUAUCCCAGUUCCUCAUGCUUGGCCCCAAACCUCUUUUUCACAGUAAUAAAGAAAACACACUUU